AUUUUUUUAAAAACCAUUUAACCAUAUCACACACGUUUACACACCCCGCAUAAUGUUCUUUGUAUAUUUCAACUUAUCACUCGUUUACGUGAACACAUUUGUAUACCACACAUACAAUUUUGUACAACCGCAUAAGCUACUUAACUCACACGAAGAAGAUGGACAAAUCAGAUAAACUGUUCAUUUUAAAACUGUUCAAACUGAAGAACGGGAAUUUAGACCUCUUAAAAAAUAGGAUUACGCAUUUUAGUAUUAACAACAAGUGCAUACAUAUCGUUUUAUGUAACAAUACUUUAAUAAAAUACUAUAUCGAACAAAAUGAGUUAUCGUAUAUAGAUUUUUAUAACAAGAAAACAACAAAUAAUAAAGCUGAAAUAAGAUCUAUUUUUUUUGAUAAUAACUGUUAUCAUGGGUUUAUAUGUUUAGCAAAUAAAGAAUAUAUUUAUGUUCAUUUUGAGAAUAAUAUAGUUCGAAAUUUACUUCAAUUAAAAAAAUAUAAUAUCACGAGUGUAUGCUUUAAUAAACAUACCGAACUAAAAAAUACAUUACCAUUUUUAAUAAGCACAAAAGAUGGUAAGAUUUUAGAAAUGUUUAUAAUUAAUAAAACAAAAAAUAUUAAAGAACCUGAUGUCAUUUUUUCGAAUGAAAAAAUAACUAUUUUAGACAUGAAGAUGGUUGAUAUAAAACCGAAUAGCCAAAACGAUAACGAAAUAAUUCGAAUUAUUUAUUUUACUACACCAAAUAGUUUACAUGAAAUUAGUUAUACCGUGCAAAAUGGAAAUAAAAAUGUAGAAAAAGGGGAACAAAAGGGAGAUUUCCCUUUAAACAAUGCACAAACACAAGUGCAACCACGCACAGAUGAAAACACAGACAUAAAUGCUCAAACUACUACGUACACUACAAAAUAUACAGAACAAACCAAAGUGUACGAAUGUCCUGUUGAUUCUUUAUGCUCUAUUAUACGAAUUGAAAAUAUUGGAAACAAAGAAUAUUUAUUUUGGCUAAAUGGUUGUUCUAUAUUGAUCAUCCCAAUUAAUAAUUAUAAAAAAAAAAAAAAUAAAAAUAUGCUAAACCUAUGUAAAAUGGAGAAAAAAUAUGAAAGAAGUGUCAAUACGAUCGGCUCGUUAUCUUCUUCGAAUAGUUCUUCUUGUUUUUCAAGCGAAUCUGACCAAUGGAAUGAUGAUUUGUUUUUUCUUAGUGAUCAAAAAAAGAUAAGCAAUAAUGAAAAAAAGAAAAAACAAAAAAAGACAGACAGAAGCGGUAAUGAUUAUAAUAACAAAUCGGUUGUACAAAAAAACAGAACUUACAUGAGUAAUCAUUAUUAUACUAAAAAUAUAAAUACAGAUGAAGAAAACAAAAGCAACAAAAGUAACAAAAGUAACAAAAAUAAACAAAGCAAUAUUAAAAAUGUUAAUAGUUCUAAUAAUGUAUAUAACUUUGAGUACUACUUAGAUAGUAAUUACAUUAUUGUGAAUUUUUUAGACUUACAAAUAUAUACGAAUGAAAACAUCAAUAGCUUUUCUUUUAUCAAGUAUUUUUACGAUUCUAUGCAUAACAAAAGUGAUAAACUGGAAAAUAACAACCCACUUGAGUUAACAUUACAAAAAGAAACAAACAAAAAAAAUAAUAAAAAAAAAAAAAAAAUUGAUACGUCCAAAAAUAAUGAUCAACAAAAUGGUACUACUUCCACUUCUAACCUUCCCCAUGAUAAAACUAUUAAUCAUAUAAAAGCUACUUCUAAUGAAAGCAUUUUUUCAACAAAUGUUAAAACUAUCACAAAACAUGAACCGACAACCAUAUCUGUUGUGGUUGACAUGUGUAUUCAACAUCCUUAUAUUUUUGUUUUAUUAGAAGAAAAAAUAAUUAUUAUUAAUAGUAAUAAUUUAAAAAAAGUAUAUGAACAAAUGUUAAACGUUGAAACGUAUGGUAAUGUAAUACGUAUAAUGAAAAAUAACUUGGACAAUCAAGUAUGGUUAUGUACAUCCAAAUAUAUAUUUAAAAUCGUAAGAAACAAAAAUAAAAAGGACUCUAUAAAUAUGAAUUUAUUUAAAAAACAAAAUUAUGAACAAAUCACACAAUUAACCACAGAUAGCCAAAAAAUGAAAAUAAAAAAAAUAUUGUUACACAAUAAUAAAUAUAGUAUAAAUAAAUAUAAAUAUACCAAUAUAAACACAGAAGAAAUAUUAAUAUCAUUUUUACAUAAAAAACAGUAUUUUCUAUUAUCUAAAUAUUUAUAUAAUAACAUACAUUGUUAUAAUAAUGUUUUACGUAUUGCUAUAUUCAUUUGGCUUAUUCAGUUAUAUGUAUAUUCCAUCGAUUUAUAUGCAUAUCUAUAUACCAAUAUCACAUACUGUUUUAAAAGAAUGAACCAAAAUUACCAUACUAGUAUAAAUUCUCAUCAUCAUUUAAAAAAUAACCAAUAUUAUAAUAACUUUUCAAAUCAGUUGAGUAAAACUUGUACAAAUUCAUAUAACAGUUUGGUCAAACAGGAAAAAAUGCAAACUGCCUCGCCAGAUGACACGAACUAUUCGCCAGAUGACACGAACUACUCGUCAGAUGACACGAACUACUCGUCAGAUGACACGAACUACUCGUCAGAUGACACGGACUAUUCUUCAGGCAAUACGGAUAAUUCACCAAACGGUACGGAUAAUUCACCAAACGGUACGGAUAAUUCACCAAAUGAUACGGAUAAUUCACCAAAUGAUACGGAUAACUCUUCAGCUAGUAAAAACCACACGUCAUCCAAAUUACUCAUCACAAACCAACUCCUCAAUGAAACAGAUGAAUCGAAACAUAAUGCACAACGUGUUUCAAAAAAGUCAGACGAACAUACAUACAUACCAAAUGGUUUUCUAACAGAAUCAUCAAAAAACACCUCAUCCAUAAUGAACGAAAAAAAAGAAUACAUAAAACCAAAUAAAAAUAAACAAACUAUAUAUAUCACUAAUCAAGAAAAAAAAAAAAAUAUAUCACAUAAUAUAUCACAUAAUAUACCACAUAAUAUAUCACAUAAUAUACCACAUAAUAUAUCACAUAAAAUAUCACAUAGUACACGCUAUAAUAAUAAAAAAAACAAACCAACUAAUGAAGACGAAGACCUGAAUAGUAAUAAUACCAUUACUCUAAAACAUAAUGAUAGUAAAACCAACUUUUUACACAAUAGCACUAGAAAAAAGACAAACAGAAGUAAAUUUUUACACAGUAAUAAUAAAACUACUUUUAUUAACUUUUUUGAAAAUUUGAUUGAUAAGGAUGAAAAAAAAGAAAACAAAUAUAAUUUUGAUUUUACUGUAGGAAAAAAAAUUAAUAUAAAAACAUUAGUAAAAAGUGAAAAUUUUUAUAUAUUAUUAAUGCUAUAUAGAAUGAAAAAUAAUGAAAUAUUU
rnacentral:lncRNA from 1 species